AAUAGAUACCCAGGUAGUCCACGCCGUAAACGUUGGAUACUAGGUGUGGCGGUCUACCAACGACUGCCGUGCCGAAGCUAACGCAUUAAGUAUCCCGCCUGGGGAGUACGGCCGCAAGGAUAAAACUCAAAGGAAUUGACGGGUCCCCGCACAAGCGGCGGAGCAUGUGGCUUAAUUCGACGCAACGCGAAGAACCUUACCAAGGCUUGACAUACACCGGAAACAUCCAGAGAUGGGUGCCCCCUUGUGGUCGGUGUACAGGUGGUGCAUGGCUGUCGUCAGCUCGUGUCGUGAGAUGUUGGGUUAAGUCCCGCAACGAGCGCAACCCUUGUCCUGUGUUGCCAGCACGCUCCUUCGGGGGUGGUGGGGACUCACGGGAGACUGCCGGGGUCAACUCGGAGGAAGGUGGGGACGACGUCAAGUCAUCAUGCCCCUUAUGUCUUGGGCUGCACACGUGCUACAAUGGCCGGUACAAUGAGCUGCGAUACCGCGAGGUGGAGCGAAUCUCAAAAGCCGGUCUCAGUUCGGAUUGGGGU
rnacentral:rRNA from 1 species